rnacentral:rRNA from 1 species
AUUGAACGCUGGCGGCAUGCCUUACACAUGCAAGUCGAACGGCAGCACGGGUGCUUGCACCUGGUGGCGAGUGGCGAACGGGUGAGUAAUACAUCGGAACGUACCUUAUCGUGGGGGAUAACGCAGCGAAAGCUGUGCUAAUACCGCAUACGCCCUGAGGGGGAAAGCGGGGGAUCGAAAGACCUCGCGCGAUUAGAGCGGCCGAUGCCUGAUUAGCUUGUUGGUGGGGUAAAAGCCCACCAAGGCGACGAUCAGUAGCUGGUCUGAGAGGACGAUCAGCCACCCUGGGACUGAGACACGGACCAGACUCCUACGGGAGGCAGCAGUGGGGAAUUUUGGACAAUGGGGGCAACCCUGAUCCAGCAAUGCCGCGUGAGUGAAGAAGGCCUUCGGGUUGUAAAGCUCUUUUGUCAGGGAAGAAACACCGGCUCUAACACAGUCCGGGAAUGACGGUACCUGAAGAAUAAGCACCGGCUAACUACGUGCCAGCCGCCGCUGUAA